rnacentral:rRNA from 1 species
GCACAAGCGGAGGAACAUGUGGUUUAAUUCGACGAUACGCGAGGAACCUUACCUGGGUUUAAAUGGGAAGUGACAGACUUGGAACAGGUUUUUCUUCGGACACUUUUCAAGGUGCUGCAUGGUUGUCGUCAGCUCGUGCCGUGAGGUGUCGGGUUAAGUCCCAUAACGAGCGCAACCCCUAUCGGUAGUUACCAGCACAUAAUGGUGGGGACUCUGCCGAGACUGCCGGUGUAAACCGUGAGGAAGGUGGGGAUGACGUCAAAUCAGCACGGCCCUUACAUCCAGGGCUACACACGUGUUACAAUGGCCGGUACAAAGGGCAGCUACCCCGCGAGGGGAUGCGAAUCUCAAAAACCGGUCUCAGUUCGGAUUGGAGUCUGCAACCCGACUCCAUGAAGCUGGAUUCGCUAGUAACCGCGCAUCAGCCACGGCCGCGGUCCGAAUACGUCCGGCCUU